rnacentral:ribozyme from 11 species
GAAAAAAAAAGUAAAUAACUCUCUUUGUCAGGUUUUUUUUUUUUUUUUUUUUUUUUUUUUUUUU